CUGAAACAGAGCUUGUAACAGAAUUUUCAUGCCGAUUCUGUUUCUUACAGAUCCAAUAAGCAAUGUCAAAAUAAAUGAGUGUUUUCUAAAGGGGGACACAACUCACUCUUUCAUUGUGGAUGUCACCAAGCAUUGUGGACGCUCGGAUCACAUCGAGGCUCUGGAAGUUGUUUCUUGCGAUUUUCACAACCUUUUCCAGUUUUCUGCAGGAAAUCACGACCAGGCCUAACAUCAAAUUUGAAGUCUCCAGAAAGAUGAUGGGGCUCCACAACAAUGAUUCCACAUGGACAAUAAUCAUACCACUAAGCUGACAAACAUCACAGAUCAGCUUUGGACUACAAACUGCUCAGAACAAUUUCGAAUUGGCUAGCUGAGAUGAUCCAGUUUCACAGUCUACUUGAACAAGGACGUGAGAUAAGCCCUGAACUUUAGCAUUAUGCAGAGACUGGACAACAAAUGAUAAAGCUACCUUUCCUAGAACUUGACAAUUAACCCCCAAUUUUUCUUUUCAGAAUAAAGAUGCCUUUGCCCACAA